GUCCUUUUUGCAAUUAUCCACAAUGCACUACCGGCGGCCAUAUUGGAGGGCUGUUAUAAACAGGCCAUAGACGAAGUCUAUUGUGAAUGUUCAUUCAUCCAAGAAUAUGCCGCUGACUCUUGUCAACUGUCACAACCGAGGUGGGAGGGAUAAAAAGAGUUUUAUCGCAUUCCUAGGGUUCUAAAAGGCCAAGGAGAGGCAGCAGAAAAGAAAAGUGAGCGACGUAGAAGACAGUGGCUUGCUGGUAUCAACCGUUCUGAAGUGAAAAUUUACGACCAACUUCGUGUGUGUUCUGAUCACUUCAUAUCGGGAAAGCCUCACUUGGAUGAUGAAACUGAUCCCGAUUCGGCACCAAGCAAACUAUUAGGGUAUGAAACUCCAAGAUCACCAUCAAAAGCUGCUAUCAGACAUGAGAGACUUCUCAACAGGAAAGAUGCAAGGAAAAAGACUGAAGCCGAUAUGAGUCUUUUGGAACUCAGCACAUACUUGCAAGCUUACAGUAGAGCUGAUUGACCAGCGGAAACAGAAGGAUCAUUACCAGAGGUACCUGAGGAGGUAGAGGUAUUGUCUGAUGCUGAGAAGCUGGAUUUGGCAAAUGAAGAAAUUUCUCAGCUGAGGAAAGAAAACCAACUAUUGACAGAACAAAAUGAGUGUUUGAAGAGCACCGUGCAUAAGAUGAAGGCAAACUUGCGAGAGGACUUUUAAAAUGACAAUGAUAAAGUUAAAUAUUACACCAGGUUACCAAGUUUUAUGACACUAAUGGCACUGUUUAAUCUUUUGGCUCCUGAAAUGAGUGAAAAUAGACAUUCUACUUUGAACAAAUUUCAAAAACUCAUGAUCACCCUGAUGAGAUUAAGACUUAAUAUGCCAAUUAUAGAUCUCAGUUACAGGUUUGGAGUUUCAAAAACAACAGUGUUUAAAGCAUUCUUGGAUACACUGAAUCUGAUGUAUUAUGUACUGCAACCUUUAGUGCGAUGACCGGAGCGAAAUGAACUUCAGGACACAAUGCCUAUGGCUUUCCGUAAAUACUUUGGUCGCAGAGUUACCUGUAUUAUUGACUGCUUCGAAAUGUUCACCGACAGACCUUCCAACAUGACUGCAAGGGCACAAACCUGGUCCAACUACAAGCAUCAUAAUACAGCUAAGUACUUAAUAGGGAUUACUCCUCAGGGAAGUGUCAGUUUCAUCUCAGAAGGCUGGGGUGGAAGAGUGACUGACAAGUACUUGACAGCAAACUGUAAAUUUUUGAAUAACCUUAUAAAUGGAGAUUUCAUACUAGCAGACAUUCAGGAAGUGGUAGCACCUGUGGGAGCAGAAGUUAAAUAUCCAGCUUUCAUUUAAAGGGAAAACACAGCUGAGUGCGAAGUUGAAUCGACAAGGAAAAUAGCCAAUGUCAGGAUUCAUGUGGAGCGUCUAAUAGGAACUGUGCGACAGAAAUUCAUGAUCCUUGGUGCUACUUGUCCAAUAGAUUACCUGCCUUCAAAACCUAGUGAUGAGUGUACAAUUCUGGACACGAUUGUCUUUGUGUGUCUAACAUGUGUCCAUCUGUUGUACCUUUUGAUUGAAGCAGGCAUAAACAUUAUUCACUUUGAUGUGUAAUAUGUAUCAGUGGUAUUGUGAUACAUAUACUUUGGCAAAGUAUAUUUUACAAAGAACAUUAAAGACAUGUUUUUGUUAUUUAUUCUGGAAGAAAUAAUUUUGUACUAAUGAAAAUAAAACUAAAUCUUGUAUUC